GUUUGUGCCCAUGAUUUACAGAGAAACAGAAAGGAGACAGGUGGUUUGCAUGCAAGUAGAAAGGAAGGAGACGACAGAGAGUGAGGGAGACUGGGAGAGAAGGGAAAGUUCAGAAGAAAGAAGAGAAGCAACCAGAAUCCAAAACCGCAAGCACCAAACACCAAUCGGCAAGCUUUUCAGAUCAAAAACAAAGAAUCCAAAACAAACGCAGACCAAUGCGUGCGUAAUUGGUCAAAUCGGAAUAUCUGAUUGAGCAUCCAUUUGAUCAAAUCGGAGGAUCCGAUUGAGCAAUCAGAUAUUUUUGAUAUAUUGAGGUUCAGUUCACUCUUCACAAUAUAAUACUAGACUGUGUGAAAGAGAGGCAGAGAGAGGGAGAUAGAGUUGCAGCAUGCCUGUAGCUAAGAGAAGAGAGAGGGAGAUAGAGUCUUCUUAUUUUGAAAUCGAGCAGAGGAAGCUAAUUAUAUUCUGAAAUAGUGGGAAUUGCAGAAAGGUCAGAGAAGAAACUGAAGCCUGUGCUUUAGGUUUUGGCAAUCAUUUAAUGUGAAUCUGGAGGUUGUGCAUAUUGAAGUAGCUCAGAGAACCAAGCUUUUUCAACACUCUCAGAGGACACAGGCAUGCACAAAAUUGCUAGAAUCAUGAAGCCAAGUCUUCCAGCAAAGAAGUUGUAAAGGUACUUAUAUUUGAAUCUUGUUGCAGGGUGAUAUCUCAGGAUUGGAAGUGAAAUCCCGGGACAUUGGAUCAACCAUUACAACUCCAUCGAAAAGGAAGAGUAAGAAAAAGUCUGAAGCAACAACUUCUGCUCAAGCCUCAUCCUCAUCAGAGAGCCUUACUCACACUGCCAAUGCUUCCCCAAUGAUGACCAUUAAGGUCAUAUUUGGAGUGGCUCUUGUGUCUGUCAUCCUUGGCAUCAUUCUUGGGAAACGAUAUUAGCUUUCGUGUAUUGUGGUAUUGGUUUGGCCCCUCAGGUUUUGGUUUAUAUUUUCCCUUGGUAUAAAUUAUGCACAGCUGAUUGAAAGCUUUGUUUUUAUGCUUUCAAGCUUAUAGUUUUUGAGGUUUUUGGUCUGGGAGUUUAUUUUGAUGCCUAUGCUCCUUGCCUGUUUGCAAAGCAAAACACAGCUAAUUCAUGUAUUGUUAUUCAAGUUUGUAUCAAGUUUUCGAUUGGGUUGCA